CCAACUGCACCUUCCUGCUGCUGGCAGCCUCCAUCUACCUGCACGACCAGAACCCCGAGGCUGCGCUGCGGGCCCUGCACCAGGGGGACAGCCUGGAGUGCCUGGCCAUGACCGUGCAGAUCCUGCUGAAACUCGACAGGCUCGACCUGGCCAGGAAGGAGCUGAAGAAGAUGCAGGAGCAGGACGAGGACGCGAC